GACGAACGCUGGCGGCGUGCUUAACACAUGCAAGUCGAACGAAGUGGCGCACGGGUGAGUAACGCGUAAUCAACCUGCCCUUCAGAGGGGGACAACAGUUGGAAACGACUGCUAAUACCGCAUACUGAAGGAGGGGAUUGCGUCUGAUUAGCUAGUUGGCAGGGUAACGGCCCACCAAGGCGAUGAUCAGUCGCAGGUCUGAGAGGAUGAACGAACAAAUUGGGACUGAGCAACGGACCAGACUCCUACGGGAGGCAGCAGGGGGGAAUCUUCCGCAAUGGACGAAAGUCUGACGGAGCAACGCCGCGUGAGGGAUGACGGCCUUCGGGUUGUAAAGCUCUGUUAAUCGGGACGCGGUACCGGAAUAGAAAGCCACGGCUAACUACGUGCCAGCAGCCGCGGUAAUUC
rnacentral:rRNA from 1 species